rnacentral:rRNA from 1 species
CUUGGUGCCAUUUCCAGGAAGGUCACACCCGUUCCCAUCCCGAACACGGCAGUUAAGCUUCCGCGGGCUGAUGGUAGUGCGUUUGCGCGAGAGUAGGUCGGCGCCAGGA